UACGAAGGGGGCUAGCGUUGCUCGGAAUCACUGGGCGUAAAGCGCACGUAGGCGGAUUGUUAAGUCAGGGGUGAAAUCCUGGAGCUCAACUCCAGAACUGCCUUUGAUACUGGCGAUCUUGAGUCCGGGGAGAGGUGAGUGGAACUGCGAGUGUAGAGGUGAAAUUCGUAGAUAUUCGCAAGAACACCUGCGGCGAAGGCGGGAUAGCUGGGCCAACACUGACGCUGGAUGCGCGAAAGCUAGGGGAGCAAACGGG
rnacentral:rRNA from 1 species